GUCAUAAUUGAAUCAAAUUGAGAACAAUUGCAAUGUAAUUGGCAAAAUAAUUUUUUAUUUGAUCGAAAAUUAAAUAAAAUUGACUAAAUUCUAAAUCCUAAUUGGGGUUAUGUUUUAAAUACCCCAAUCCUAAUUCUACCCAACCAUCCUUCCCCUUCCAAUUCUGUAUACACUAGCCCCAAACAAAAAAAAACCGACCCGACCCGACCCGACCCGACCCGACUUUGUUUUAAUUCUUCACUGCAGCCAAUAACUUCGACCACACAACGUACAAUAACAAACAACAUAACAACGCCUUUGACAAACACAUAUUAGUAGCGGCAACCUCAACCAAAACGAUGAUUCUUCAGACCUAAAACGAUGUUCUCUCUCUCUUGUAUUGUUGCCCGUUCAAAGCGUGUGAUUUCCCCCAAAAUAUAUCCGUUUUGAUUUUCCCAAAUCAAUUUCAAAUUUGAAUUAGCCAAUUCGUACGAAAAUCAUAUGAUUACAAUUAGCAAAUCAUAUUCCCUUUUCAAAAAUCCCCAAAAUGCCAUCGAGAAUCCCUUUCCCACAUUGCCAAAUUCUCCAAAAUCCCUUUGUAAAUACACUACUAUUCCUUAUGUGUAAAAGGUUGGAGACGUAAAUAGCGAAGAACCUCAAAUUUAAAGGAUUUUGCUUGAAGAAAAUUGAUUUCGGUGUCAAAAAAUUUGAUAAGACUCGUUUGAGCUCGAAUUUCUAGGCUAAUAAUUCAAUUUCAUUCCAGUGGUAGCGAAAAUUUCGACGAAGCUCGUAGUCUGGUUUGCUGCCCAAAAAAGGUUGUGGUUUCUAGGACGGUUUCAAUUCAAGAAGAUAGUGGAUCAUUGAGGCCGAUUGAACUCAAGGAGCUUUGAAUCAGUUGGUUUGAUUUCUUAUUGUUCUCAGGCCUUGAAAAUCUCUAUAUCUUUCUCGAUUCUUCCUAUUUGUCCAUCGCUAAUCUGUUGUGUUGCUAGAGCUGUUAAAAAUGUGUUGCAUCCCAUUGGAUCAUAAUUAAUUUCCCAAAAAUAAUAGCAUGCUCCCCCCUCCCUCUCUGUAGAUUUUAUCUCUUUUGUCAAGAUAUCCAGUUGUUUGCUAUCAUUUGAUUAUGAAUCCUCUAUAUUUAAAAAAUGUGUUGAAUCCCAUUGGAUCAUAAUUAAUUUCCCAAAAAUAAUAGCAUGCUCCCCCCUCCCUCUCUGUAGAUUUUAUCUCUUUUGUCAAGAUAUCUAGUUGUUUGCUAUCAUUUGAUUAUGAAUCCUCUAUAUUUAAAAAAUGUGUUGAAUCCCAUUGUAUCAUAAUUAAUUUCCCAAAAAUAAUAGCAUGCUCCCUCCCUCUCCAUAGAUUUUAUCUGUUUUGUCAAGAUAUCAAGUUAAUUGUUCUCUUUUGAUUAUGAAUCCUCUUAUGUGUUAGAUAUAAUCAGGUUAAUACAAUGAAAGUAAUGUUUUUCCAUCUUAGGCUUCAGUUGGUCUUUCUCGUAAGGAUGUGAUUUUCUCAUUUUAUAUGGAACAUGCAUUAAUUUAUUCCACCUUUGUAUUUCAACAUGAAUAUUUUAGUAAUAAAAAUGUGUUACUUGCUAUCUUAUUUGGCUUUUAAUUGAAAUAGCUUCUUAAAAUUAAGCCUAACUGAUCAUCAGACUUCUUUUUUUAGAAUUAAGCCUAUUUUUUUUUAUUAAUGUUUUCACUCUCAACUUCUUUUACUAAUUCUCAUCUCUUUGUUGCAUGAACCCCUUAUGGUUGAGUCCAAUGGACUCCCCUCUUGCAUUGCGUUUGAGUUCCUCCAUACCAAAGUCCCCGAAAAGACUGAUUUGUAGCAGUAUACAUGAGUAUACAAUGGUAUACCUAUGUAGAUAUGUGGGUGGAGGGCAAAUAGAUGUGUAUACAUGACCGAAACACGGUCAUAUACACAAAAGAUAUACCAAAACGUGAGAGGAAAUGUUGUAGUAUACAUCUGAUAUACACAGUGAUAAUGGACCCAAGUCCAAAAUUCUAAAUUUCGACAGCUUUUAGGAAAUGGUCUGGAUAAAAGGCCCAAACCUCUUUUCUUUAUUUAUUUUGUAUAAUUCAUAUUUGAUUAUUUGUUGUUUUAAAAAUUUCAAAUUUGGUUAACCUUAAUAACUCCCUAUUCGAAUUGUUAUUUUUGCGUUAUCUUUAUUUUUUUUCCUUCGAUUAUCAGUUGUCAUAAACCUUAAUAUUUGAAUCAAUAAAAAUGAAUUCUUGUUA